rnacentral:tRNA from 1 species
GCUCGACUGAUAAGGAGAGGAAUUGCCUCUUUCAGUCAGAGAGACCAGGCUGCCCUCUCCCGGGGGUCGAGCG